rnacentral:lncRNA from 1 species
AUGGCUCUUUGCCAUCUUUGCUCGUGCCCGGGGCCGGUCCUGGCACGGGCCUACCACCCGGGGUCCCUGCGCGGUGCCAAGCCUCGGCCCAGGGCAAGGCGGAGGGGUGCGGAGCCGCCCUCGGGCGCGGAGCCUCGCUCCCGGCCAGCCGCCGGCUGGCCCUACCGCCCCGCGGAUGAGCCCGGUCCGGAGAGCCCCAAUAGGACCUCGCCUGCCGGCGGGGCCGGCCGGGAGCCGAGGGGCCGCAGGUGGCGGCGGGAGCCCUCUCGGCCACCACCCCCUCCCGCGGCCCGGCCGCGCUUCCGCCCGUGUCAGCUGACUGCCGCGAGGAAGCGGCGGCGCGAGCCCCGGCCCAGCCCCGAGUCGCUGCCGCCUGCGGAGUACCGUCCCGGCCCCCUCCACCAUGGCAGGGCUGGUGGUGAGCGGAGCCCAAUGUAUUGAAGAGUCUGCAAGAAGGUCUGAGCUGCCCACGGCCAAUCUGAUGCUGGGAGCUGUGGGAAUGUUUCCAAGCAUUUCUUUGGGAUACUGAGCUGGGUACCAAUGAUAAGAGUGUUUGAUGGUGACCACCUGCAUCCAGUUUGAGAUGGAGAAUUAGGCAAUGGAGACAUCUACAUCUAGUUCUCAUCCCAUGGGGUGUUCUGUGCUGGGUAGAGAGAAUCGGAGAAACCUGCUGUUACUGGUGUGCCUUGUACCAAAAGAGCGAAGUUGUCUUGGUCAAGGCGUAUUUGCUCUCAUCUCUCAGUGAUGACAUCUUCAGAUAUGCACUUGAAAGCUCAUACUUGUUUUAAGGUUAUUUGAGAUGGAUGCAAAAGGAAGAUUGUAUAUAUUUGAUUGUUUUUCUGAGCAAAUUAUUUUGAAAUGAAGGACUAAAAAUGAAGAAACAUUAUUUUUUGCUUGUCCAGACUGCUGAAGCCUUGCUACAUAUCAACAUUGUUCGAGCAGCAGGAAAGUGAAGAAAUAAUACUCUCAAAAACUUGUUGGAAAAGUCUUAUUGUGUAUUGCGUAGCUGGUGAUCUGUCAGUUGCUGCUGUUGUUACAGUCAAGAGAGCUCUUGAGUAUCCCAAGCAAGUUUAUGUAGAAGGGGUAGAGAUCUGAAGUGAGUGUACUUUGUAGGAAAAUAAAUCUCUUGGCUUUAAUUCA